UACUGUAAAUGAUGACUGUAAAAAAAAACAUUGGGAAUCUCUCUGAAAAAUAAUGAACGACGUGUUUUUACUGACGCAGUG
rnacentral:snoRNA from 1 species